CCUCCACAUUCCUGAGGGCAGACUCAGUGUGUGGACAUUACAGGGAGAGAGAUUUCAGCUUCAAACCCAAAAGAAAUGUUUAAUAAUUCUGAGCGGGCGUUGGCUGAAUCAGGACACAAUGCAUUCUCUGGAACUGGUGUCUCCACGCAGAAGCCAGGAUAUUACUCAGGACUCCCGAAUGGGGCUGAGCACGUGAGCCGCUAAAACUGCGUGUGGGGGAGCUAGCUCCCCAUCUCAUCCCGUCACAUCGUGGAGGAAGGGGCGUCUGCAACAAGGGCCCUAAGGCUGGGGAAGGAGGAGAUGCCUUUUGCUUCUGGAGGACGGGUGCCAUGCUCAAAGCAGCCCAACCAUGACUCACACAUCCAAAUGAGGCUGCUGCCUUAUAAGGAGGCACUUUGAAGGCUAUUAUUCCAAGGAGCCUGCCACCUCCCGAAGCAUUUUUAGAACUCCUGCUUUGAAUCACUACCAGUGUCAAGAUGGUGAAUCCUCACACCUCCUAGGAGCAGUUAUUUUUGGAAACAAUGAAAGUCAGGUUGGCCAAGUUUGAUCUCACGGCACCACCUGUGUAUCAAGAAAGGGAGAGAUACAUUACCUUGAGCAAACUUACAGAGGGCCAAAGCUAGCCUCCCUCCAUCUCAGCCUUGGUAGGCAUUUUAAGGUAUGUAUAUUAAUCUCCUAGGGGCCCUGGAACACAUGGAGGGGGACGGGGUCAGUGAACAAGAUAGAGGGUAAAGAUGGGCUCAGUAGUGUUUGCUUUCCUAUAGUGUUAAAUCAGACACAACCAGUGUGAAAUCCUAGCUCCUUCGCUUAAAAGGAUGUGUGAUCUUAAGCAAGUUAUGUAUCUCCUUUGAGGCUGAGUUUUCUCAUCUUUAAGAUGUAGAGUAUGAUAUCUCUAAGAACUCCUGCAAAAAUGAAAUAAGAGGUCAUGUAUAAAACACAGGAAACAUAUUUUAGGUGGUAUUAUGAUAGUUAUUAUAAUUUUUGUUAAUAAUAUUUUUAUUUAUGAUCAUUUGGAUAAGAGAGAAGUGAUGGCUUCUGUUUUCCCCUUUUAGAUUCAACAGAGAAAUUCUUGACCUUGGUUCUUAAGAAACCUGUUUAGGCAAAAAAGGAAAGUAUCCUUGGGAACAGAGGUGGUGCUGUGCAGAGGCGAGCCUUCAGGGUUUCAAGUGCUUGGACCUCGCCCAGCUCUGGCUGGCCUCCUCCUCAGGCUGUGAUGAAGGAGUCAGAAUACCUGCAACGGCCACACAACCACGAUGACUGCAGACUCCCCAGCAACCACAAUUGCAGCCACCACACUGUGGGGCCAUAUGACCAACAUCAGCAAUCGCUACGGUAAACUGCAGCAAGCACACAAGCACACAACAGCAGUCGCAACCACCCCAUCUGCACGACCACACAACACCCACACAAGCACCGCGACCUGCAGCAACCACUGCGUCAGUGGCCAUUUAUCAACUCUGUCUCAUGUUCCGACUUGAGACCCGGAAAGGGAGGUCUGCCAUGCCUCCUGAGACAGAUCAGCAGAGGCCUGGGAGGCUUCUCGGACCUUUGGGUGGGAAUGAGCCGGUGGGAACUUGGAUCAGGUGAGUUGGGUUUAUGACGUGGACUCCUCUGUCUCUGAGGGGAGGUGUGGUCCCUUGAGGACUUCCAAGUCAACUUGGCUCUAAGCCCUAGAGGAGGGGGCAUCUUUCUCACUCCCUUUCCUGAAAGACGGGGGCACCUGUCUUAUUUUCCUUCCUGGGGACCCCCUGUGAUGCUCAGUGCUGAACUCUGAGCAUAAAUGGUACUUUCUGAUUGGAGGGGAUGGGACCGAGUAGCCAGCUUUCCUCUCAUUACGGCGUCCUAUUUCCCGUGCAUCACCGGAAGGAGUGGGCCUCUGGUCCUUUGAAAACCAGUCUCCACGAGGGGGAUGGAGGCAGCAAGUUCUUGACCAGAACCUGCCAUGUACCAUCAGCACAAUCCCGUAGAAAGCCUCUUUUUUUUUUAAAGUUUAUUUUUGAGAGAGAGAGAGAGAGAGAGAGACAGAAAGAGAGAGAGAGACAGAGACAGAGCAUGAGCUGGGAAGCAGCCAGAGAGAGAGGGAGACACAGAAUCUGAAGUAGGCUCCAGGAUCCGAGCUGUCAGCACAGAGUCCGAUGAGGGGCUCGAACUCAUGAGAGGUGAGAUCAUGACCUGAGCCAAAGCCAGAUGCUUAACUGACUGAGCUACCCAGGCUCCCGAGAGUCUCUGUUCUAUACAGCCCAGCACUGGUGCUGGCUGUCCAGCUCAGUGAAAGGCAUGGUCGAGAUAGGACUGUACACAGAGAAACUAUUCAGACUCUCAAGGCAGCUGGUGCCCUGAUGGAGGGAGUGCCACCGACAGCCACGGCCACAGUGCCUGGGGAGGGGUACGCUGAUGCUUGGGGCUCUGAGGAAGGCUUCCCAGAGAAGGUAGAGCUUGAUCCUGCUGUAAAGGAAGGAUUUCACUCACCCAAUAGAGAGAAAGAGAAGGCAUUCCAGGAAGGGGAACAACAUGAGCAAAAGCCCAGAGGCUUUAUGAAAUUUGGUGGAGUCACUGAGUGGUGGGAGGUAGGAGGGCAGGAAGGAGGACGUAGGAAGGUGGAGGAGGUCAGAGGCUGGAGGGGGAGCAUCUUGGGAUGCGCAGUCCUGUGGGCAAUGGAGACACUGAAGGUUUUUCUGAGAGAUGGGCAGCAACAUAUACCAGGCAGCAUCCCAGGAUGACUUUUUAGCAGUCCUGUGUGGGCGGCUAGCGUGUUGUGCUUAAGGGUGUUGUGGGAGAAACAGGUUAGGUGCAGUGAGAGGCUGGGACUUGGACUCAGUAUCCCCAGUGGGAGUGGAAGGUAGGGCAGGAGCGGGCAGGAAGGACACGAGAGAAUAGACAGGGUCUCACGGCAGCCUGGGUGAGUCAAGGCAGGGUGAGUCAAGGAUGAUGGCUCCAAGGGAUGGUGUUUGGGCUACUGAAUGGGGGUACUCAGUUCGUGGGGAGAGACGCUGUGCUUGUGCAGUACUGGAGGUAGGGCUGUGACCGUGGGGGGAAGUCCAGGAGGCGGCUGGCUAUGCAGCCCAGAAGAAAGGGGUGAUGUGGGGUGCAGUUAGGCGGCGACAGCUGGAAGAGAAGGGACCAGGGGUGAAAGAGUGCCAGAGAGAGAAAAGCAGAGGGGCGGGUAGAGAACCGGGACCCAGCUGCAGGCACAGGAGAGAGUGUGAGAGUCUGAGGCCAAGGGGAGGUGAGGGGGAACCAUGGCCAGAAGCCUCAGUCUGGAGAGUGAGGCUCCAGCUGCCUGGGUGCCACAGAGGCUCCCUCUCGCUUCAGUGUCUUCCC